rnacentral:rRNA from 1 species
UACGUAGGGUGCAAGCGUUAAUCGGAAUUACUGGGCGUAAAGCGUGCGCAGGCGGUGAUGUAAGACAGAUGUGAAAUCCCCGGGCUCAACCUGGGAACUGCAUUUGUGACUGCAUAGCUGGAGUGCGGCAGAGGGGGAUGGAAUUCCGCGUGUAGCAGUGAAAUGCGUAGAUAUGCGGAGGAACACCGAUGGCGAAGGCAAUCCCCUGGGCCUGCACUGACGCUCAUGCACGAAAGCGUGGGGAGCAAACGGG